CCACGGUGUGGUUCAUGACUGGGGUGAAGUCGUAACAAGGUAGCCCUAGGGGAACCUGGGGCUGGAUCACCUCCUUAAACGAAG
rnacentral:rRNA from 1 species